rnacentral:lncRNA from 1 species
ACAGAGUUCUCUCGUUUUCUCUAACUUUCUCUUACUGUAUCUCUCACCAUUUUUGCCUUAAAUCUGUAUGUUUUCAUGGUAUCAGAGCGAGAUGAUCCUCGGAUUCUUCUCCGUUUCUUGUUAUCGAUCGUGUUGGAAGUUUUAUUGAAGGUUUUUUUUUUGGAUAUUUGAGAGAGAUUCUGUUUACCGAGAGAACGAUGUGUAUUGAACAGAUAAUCGGAACUUUUACUGCUAUUUGAUGCUUCGAUCUUCACUCAGUGGAUGUUUUGGGUGAUUUUCCGACAUCCCUGACCCUUUUCCGGUGACUUUCCAGUUUCUAGGGUUUCCGGUGGUCCGACCUAGGGUUUUACUGCAAUCCGAUGGCUCGAUCCUCACUCGGCGAAUGUUUUGGGUAAUUUUCGACGUCCCUGACCCUAUUUCGGUAAGUUUCCAGUCCAUACGGUUUCCGGUGGUUGGACCUAGGGUUUUAUCUGGCGAUUGAAGGCCGUUCUUCUCCGCUCGCGAAGAAGGAGGGUAACACUAUCCCUGUUCUAAGUGUUGUAUAUUUUGUAUGUGGGUUCUGAUUCAACUUUAGCCUGUUUACUGAGACUGUUUUUGAUUUCAAACUAGUUAUUGUUCAUGACUUCUAAUAUGAAUGUUAAUACCUCCUCAGUGGACUCUACCAGCCCCCUUUUUGUUUACUCCUCUGAUGUUCAUGGAGUUUCUCUUGUUCCACUCCGUUCUACAAGAAAUAGUUAUGGGGGUUGGAGGAGGAAAAUGAUUGUCGCGCUGUCUGCUAAAAAUAAAAUUGGCUUAGUUGAUGGCACAUGUCCC